UACUCCUACGGGAGGCAGCAGUAGGGAAUCUUCCACAAUGGACGCAAGUCUGAUGGAGCAACGCCGCGUGAGUGAAGAAGGCUUUCGGGUCGUAAAACUCUGUUGUUGGAGAAGAAUGGUCGGCAGAGUAACUGUUGUCGGCGUGACGGUAUCCAACCAGAAAGCCACGGCUAACUACGUGCCAGCAGCCGCGGUAAUACGUAGGUGGCAAGCGUUAUCCGGAUUUAUUGGGCGUAAAGCGAGCGCAGGCGGUUUUUUAAGUCUGAUGUGAAAGCCCUCGGCUUAACCGAGGAAGUGCAUCGGAAACUGGGAAACUUGAGUGCAGAAGAGGACAGUGGAACUCCAUGUGUAGCGGUGAAAUGCGUAGAUAUAUGGAAGAACACCAGUGGCGAAGGCGGCUGUCUGGUCUGUAACUGACGCUGAGGCUCGAAAGCAUGGGUAGCGAACAGGAUUAGAUACCCUGGUAGUCCAUGCCGUAAACGAUGAAUGCUAGGUGUUGGAGGGUUUCCGCCCUUCAGUGCUGCAGCUAACGCAUUAAGCAUUCCGCCUGGGGAGUACGACCGCAAGGUUGAAACUCAAAUGAAUUGACGGA
rnacentral:rRNA from 1 species